rnacentral:rRNA from 1 species
GACGAACGCUGGCGGCGUGCUUAACACAUGCAAGUCGAACGGUGAAGCGCCUUCCUUUUUGGUGGGUGUGGAUGAGUGGCGAACGGGUGAGUAACACGUGAGUAACCUGCCCCCUUCUUCUGGAUAACCGCAUGAAAGUGUGGCUAAUACGGGGUAUUCUGGGUCUGUCGCAUGAUGGGUCUGGGAAAGAUAUUGUUUCGGUGGGGGAUGGGCUCGCGGCCUAUCAACUUGUUGGUGGGGUGAUGGCCUACCAAGGCGGUGACGGGUAGCCGGCCUGAGAGGGUGGACGGUCACACUGGGACUGAGACACGACCCAGACUCCUACGGGAGGCAGCAGUGGGGAAUAUUGCACAAUGGGCGCAAGCCUGAUGCAGCGACGCCGCGUGAGGGAUGGAGGCCUUCGGGUUGUGAACCUCUUUCGCCAGUGAAGCAGGCCUGCCUCGUUUGUGGGUGGGUUGACGGUAGCUGGAUAAGAAGCGCCGGCUAACUACGUG